GUUUUCAAUAAUGCAAAUAGCAGCGACUUUGCAAAGUGGGUCUCAUGACCUUCCAGAGGCCUGGGCUAGUCAGCAGCCUGCCAAUGCAAACACAUGCUGUUCUGAAGCCUUCUUGAGGGCAUCCUCUGCCACGGAUGGAGCCUCCUCCACUGUCAUGUUUGGCCUUCUGAGGAGACAGACCAAAGCACUCUAGACCAAGUGUUUCCUGAAUGGAGGAUGAUUCCCACUUACGGAAUUGAUAAUUACAGAUUGAGGAGAGAUGGGAUAUGGCUAACACAUGCACAGGCUGCUGUGACUCUAUGUGGUCCCUGUGGUCCCUCUGUUGGCUGUCCAAGACUGGAGCAUCUUAGGAAAUGGCUCACCUGGAGUAACUGAUUGAGGUCCAGUCAGGCAUGUGAGGACACAGUGUUUGCCCCACUGGAGGACGAAGGAACAAGGCACCAUCUUGGAAUUGGAGACCAGAGCCCUCACAAGACACUGAGCCUGAUGUUACCUUUAUCUUGGACUUCACAGCCUCUAGAAUUGUGAGAAAUAAAGUUCUAUUAGUCAUAAAUC
rnacentral:lncRNA from 10 species